AUAAAAGCUGUGAAGAGAAGAGUAGAUAUUAGACUAAGUCAAAGCGAGCUGGUGAUGGUGAGAGACCAGUACAAGGUCUUAUAUUGAAGAACAUCUCGGAGCUUCUAACUGAAAUUUCAAUUAGAAAGAGUAGGAUUAGACGGAACCAAUCCGUUAAAAGUUGGACAGUAUCGAGUGUAUGUUACUCCGUACUGAUAGAGUUGAGUUAUUUAUAACUAAAUUGGGUGGUACCGCGGAAGUAAAGCCUUUCGUCCCAUGA
rnacentral:ncRNA from 1 species